rnacentral:rRNA from 1 species
GAUGAACGCUGACAGAAUGCUUAACACAUGCAAGUCCACUUGAAUUUGGGUUUUUAACUUAGGUUUGGGUGGCGGACGGGUGAGUAACGCGUAAAGAACUUGCCUCACAGCUAGUGACAACAUUUGGAAACGAAUGCUAAUACCUAAUAUUAUGAUAAUAGGGCAUCCUAUAAUUAUGAAAGCUAUAAGCGCUGUGAGAGAGCUUUGCGUCCCAUUAGCUAGUUGGAGAGGUAACGGCUCACCAAGGCGAUGAUGGGUAGCCGGCCUGAGAGGGUGAUCGGCCACAAGGGGACUGAGACACGGCCCUUACUCAUACGGGAGGCAGCAGUGGGGAAUAUUGGACAAUGGACCGAGAGUCUGAUCCAGCAAUUCUGUGUGCACGAUGAAGUUUUUCGGAAUGUAAAGUGCUUUCAGUUGGGAAGAAACAAAUGACGGUACCAACAGAAGAAGUGACGGCUAACUACGUG